rnacentral:rRNA from 1 species
UGCAUAUCAAUAAGCGGAGGAAAAGAAACCAACAGGGAUUGCCUCAGUAGCGGCGAGUGAAGCGGCAAGAGCUCAGAUUUGAAAUCGUGCUUUGCGGCACGAGUUGUAGAUUGCAGGUUGGAGUCUGUGUGGAAGGCGGUGUCCAAGUCCCUUGGAACAGGGCGCCCAGGAGGGUGAGAGCCCCGUGGGAUGCCGGCGGAAGCAGUGAGGCCCUUCUGACGAGUCGAGUUGUUUGGGAAUGCAGCUCCAAGCGGGUGGUAAAUUCCAUCUAAGGCUAAAUACUGGCGAGAGACCGAUAGCGAACAAGUACUGUGAAGGAAAGAUGAAAAGCACUUUGAAAAGAGAGUGAAACAGCACGUGAAAUUGUUGAAAGGGAAGGGUAUUGCGCCCGACAUGGGGAUUGCGCACCGCUGCCUCUCGUGGGCGGCGCUCUGGGCUUUCCCUGGGCCAGCAUCGGUUCUUGCUGCAGGAGAAGGGGUUCUGGAACGUGGCUCUUCGGAGUGUUAUAGCCAGGGCCAGAUGCUGCGUGCGGGGACCGAGGACUGCGGCCGUGUAGGUCAC